AGAUAUGUUCGUAGAGCCACGAACAGGAUAAUCAAAAGAAAUAUUCAAUAAGA
rnacentral:ncRNA from 1 species